rnacentral:rRNA from 1 species
UGCAAGUCGAGCGGCAGCACGGGUACUUGUACCUGGUGGCGAGCGGCGGACGGGUGAGUAAUGCCUAGGAAUCUGCCUGGUAGUGGGGGAUAACGCUCGGAAACGGACGCUAAUACCGCAUACGCCCUACGGGAGAAAGCAGGGGACCUUCGGGCCUUGCGCUAUCAGAUGAGCCUAGGUCGGAUUAGCUAGUUGGUGAGGUAAUGGCUCACCAAGGCGACGAUCCGUAACUGGUCUGAGAGGAUGAUCAGUCACACUGGAACUGAGACACGGUCCAGACUCCUACGGGAGGCAGCAGUGGGGAAUAUUGGACAAUGGGCGAAAGCCUGAUCCAGCCAUGCCGCGUGUGUGAAGAAGGUCUUCGGAUUGUAAAGCACUUUAAGUUGGGAGGAAGGGCAGUUACCUAAUACGUGAUUGUUUUGACGUUACCGACAGAAUAAGCACCGGCUAACUCUGUGCC